rnacentral:rRNA from 1 species
AUUGAACGCUGGCGGUAGGCCUAACACAUGCAAGUCGAACGGCAGCACAGUAAUAGCUUUCUCGUACGGGUGGCGAGUGGCGGACGGUUGAGGAAUACAUCGGAAUCUACUUUUUCGUGGGGGAUAACGGAGGGAAACUUACGCUAAUCCCGCAUACGACCUACGGGUGAAAUCAUGGGACCUUCGGACCUUGCGCGAUUGAAUGAGCCGAUGGCAGAUUAGCUAGUUGGCGGGGUAAAGGCCCACCAAGGCGACGAUCCGUAGCUUGUCUGAGAGGGUUGACAACCACACCUGGAACUGAGCACCGGCCAAGCCUCCUAGGGGAGGAAGAAGUGGGAAAUAUUGAACAAUGGGGGAAAGCCUAUCCAAGCAAUACCGGGUGGGUAAAGAAGGCCUUCGGGUUGUAAAGACCUUUUGUUGGGACAGAAGAGAAGCAGCUUAAUACACCGCUGUUCGGACGGAACCCAAAGAAUAAGCACCGGCUAACUUCGU